rnacentral:rRNA from 1 species
UCGAGAAUCUUCGGCAAUGGACGAAAGUCUGACCGAGCGACGCCGCGUGCGGGAUGAAGGCCCUCGGGUUGUAAACCGCUGUCAGUUGGGAGGAAAGCUUUGUGAAGAGCAAAGCUUGACCGAUCUUCAGAGGAAGGACGGGCUAAGUUCGUGCCAGCAGCCGCGGUAAGACGAACCGUCCAAACGUUAUUCGGUAUCACUGGGCUUAAAGCGUGCGUAGGCGGCCUGUCAGGUCGGGUGUGAAAUCCCACGGCUCAACCGUGGAACUGCGCCCGAAACCUACAGGCUUGAGGAAGACAGGGGUGUUGGGAACUUAUGGUGGAGCGGUGAAAUGCGUUGAUAUCAUAGGGAACACCGGUGGCGAAGGCGCAACACUGGGUCUUUUCUGACGCUGAGGCACGAAAGCUAGGGUAGCGAACGGGAUUAGAUACCCCCGUAGUCC